CUUCUCUUCUCUCUCUCUCCAUAUUCAUCUCUAUCUAGCUUAUCUCUAUACUCACAGACCGUUCGGCUAGGAGAGAUUUUUUGUUUAUUUAUUUGAUUCUUGAUAAAUAAGAACCUAUUUGCUGUUGUUGUCAGGUGCAGAACACCCCAAAUGCCUAGGCGUUGUUGGGGGAAGUAUGUGGUUUAUAAAUGGUUUUAAAUAAUCUACACAAGCAAAGCUUCACAUUGCUUGACCCUGAGGCAACAAGUUUACUAGUGCCAGCAAUCAGAUUUUAACUAGAAGAUAUUUUUUUCAAACCCUAAGGGUUGUGAGAAGUUUAUUUGGGAUGUAGGGUGUGUGGGUGUGUGUUGGGAUCCUCAGUGACAGAUUACUUUAUUUUAUUUUAUUAUUGCUACGUAGUACAAGUGCAGGAGCCUCGCAGGGCAAAAAAGUUGGCAACCCCAGUAGACAGUAAUUUAAAACAGUAAUUUAAUGUUUGAUGUUUUAUAUUUUAUUGUGUUUUUAAUAUUCUGUUGGGAGCUGCCCAGAGUGGCUGGGGAAACCCAGCCAGAUGAGCAGGGUCUAAAUAAAUCAUUAUUAUUAUUAAAACAAGUGUUGUUGAAACAUUUCAUUCUGAAUCCGCUAGAUAGAACCAGAUGGAGGAAGAUGACAGGUGGGUAUUCUGCCCCCUCCCAAGAUUAAUUCUGGCUACACCCAUGCCUGGUCUCAGACUUAUCAUCCGUAAAGCAGAAAAACAAAAGGGAAAAUGAAAUAAUGAGGGGGAAGAGAGAAGAAACAAGCACAGCCAUGGAACAGAAGACAGAUCUUCUCUUUACUACGUUUAUGUGCACAACCUUUCCAGCCGAGGAGCUCAGUAGUUCUGGCCUCCCCAUUUUAUCCUCUCAACAACCCCACAAGGUAGGUUAGGUUAGCGGUAUAUAAAUAUUCUGAUCAAGAAAGAAAGAAAGUCCCCCCUAGGCCACCAUUGGGAGCCAUGAGGAAGGGGACAUGAAAGUGGUUUGAAACACUGUCCUCCCUAAAGAGCCUUCCUAGUAGGAGUGUAUGAGUUAUACUACGUCUUGGUCCCACUCCAGGGUUAAUAAUUUCUACUUUUCUCCUUCUCCCACCCUGCGUUGCUGCUUCAGAACUCCAGAUUUCCCCAGGAAUGUGCACUUUUUGACAUGAUCAGAUUCCACAAAAGAUGGAUGCAAAAAGUCAUGCAACAAGUUUAUGUUUUCUACCUUAAGAACCUAAGAAAAGGCCAGCAUCCUGUUCUCACAGUGGAACAUCACAGUGCGAGGCGCCUGCCGCCCCCGGGCCCAAUUUUGACUGCCUAGGGGCCUCCACAGAGUUUAAUCCGGGACUGCUCAUUGCUGCCAGAAAUUAAAUCUUGGAACUACUACAUGCAAAACAUGUCUUCCAGUUAUGGCGCUUGCUGUUCAGUGCACAGAAGCAGCCUUCUGCAUCUGCAUAGCAAUGCUUAUUUGGGUGUCGUGGUGCGGGUGAAUGCAUCUUAUGAUACAAAGAGCACUAUGUAACCACAUGACCUGUUGCCAAUGACCAGAAACAGAGUAAGUCCUCUUCAGAGAUUUGGUAGAUGUUUUUAAGAUGCAGCACUAAUCUUUCCCUGCCUGGACCUAUUCUGUAGUUGCAAUGUAUGUGCCCUGCUGCUAAACGAUGAAUCCUGCUUUAGAUGUGCUACCAGGAGCUAAGUAUAACAUCUGAGAGUUCUGUUGUCCUUCAAAAUGACAAGUAAGGAGAGAACUCUUUUUUUAAAAUAAAAAAACAACAACCCACCCUGCACACAUUUUUUCAACCCUUGCAACAAAAUCUGUUAAAAUCACAAACAGGGCUUGUUGUUUUAGCAUGCGCUGGAAUGAAAUAAGACUGAUUUGGCAUGGAUCCCAAACUGCUAAAAUCAUUGUCCUUUUUUUUUAUAAUAACGGACUGGCAUGCUGCCUACAUGAGCGUCCAUUGUUUUGCAUUACCUGAGGCACAAACUAUGAAUGUAAAUUUGUGACAGCAAGGUCGAAAUCCUUAACAUAACGGUGGCAAUUGCUCAGACUUGACUGUGUUGCUUUGUGCUUCCAAAGUGACUAUCUUUCAACCUCUGACAACAGGGGACACGUUUGAAUAUGAAAAAAAAGGUUAUUCCAUUUUGAAAUGCACAACAAAUGUGAGUCAUUCUGCCAGCGAAUCAAUUUUGUUGGAAUAUUAUGCAUUGUGAAACGAAAAUAAUAGCGAUAAUUUCACUACUGCUUGCCUCAGAGAUCAUGACCAAUGUUUUUGAGGUUGGCGGUCCCCAACUUCGCAGUUGCCCAUGGAUACAGAUAUUAAACGGCAUCCUGUUAAUUGCUGCCGUGUGGGAACUUUUUUGUUUUACUGUCGUGGCUGCUUGCAUCGCUUUCCUUCAAUCCUGCCUUUUGUCUGAGUUCAAAGAAGAAGCAGAAAUUCUGAAUACAAAUGAAGG